UCAAAGAAAAUAAGGAUAACGGGAUAAUUACCUCUUUUCUGGAAGGCUUCACUACUGGUAGCAUCAGGUUGUGUACAGACCUCCUUGUUAAAAUAUUGAACAAUAAAUGAAAGAUGUCCAAGUGCUAACAGACUAAAAGAAAGCAUCAUAUCAGAUAAGAACAUAAGAAUGGCCGUACCGGGUCAGACCAAAGUCAAUCCAGCCCAGUAUCCUGUCUACCGACAGUGACCAAUUUCAGGUGUCCUAGAGAGAGUGAACCUAACAGGUAAUGAUCAAGUGAU
rnacentral:lncRNA from 1 species